rnacentral:rRNA from 1 species
UACGUAGGGUGCAAGCGUUGUUCGGAAUUACUGGGCGUAAAGCGCGCGUAGGCGGGUUCGUAAGUCGAUUGUGAAAGCCCUGGGCUUAACCCGGGAAUUGCAGUCGAUACUGCGAAUCUUGAAUGCCUGAGAGGAUGGCGGAAUUCCCGGUGUAGAAGUGAAAUUCGUAGAUAUCGGGAAGAACACCUGAGGCGAAGGCGGACUAUCUGGCGGUGCAUUGACGCUGAUGCGCGAAAGCGUGGGGAGCAAACAGG